CCUGUAACUCCCUGGAGCCACAGGCAUUUCACCACUGUCCUUGCUGGAAUAUUAGAAAGCCUGAAGCUGAAUGGUAUUGAAAAAUCCCACUGCUUUCCUCCCCAAAACUGAAUUGCCAUUUGGAUCAGAAAAAAAGCAAACUGAUACAGACCACCACGUGUACCACAGGCUGGAACGCCGUGCAGGUAAAAAACCAGCUCCAGUGGCCCAGAAGUUGAAACAGGCCCGCCCUAUCUUAGCAGCUGGGCUCUUCGCCAUCAUGGAUCGCAACAGUUGGGAACCGAACAGGGGGAACGAGAGUGAAGCAAGCCUGCUGUUCUGUGACAGACUACACCUAAGCCAUUUUGCCUACUUUUUUCUGUAACAUUCCCUGUGUUUCCCUACUGCAAAACUGCCUGGUGGGAAGCCACGUGGUACUGUAACUGGAGUAAUUUAAAAAUGAGACAUCUCCAUUAGAGACGCAACAGCCC